rnacentral:rRNA from 3 species
UACGUAGGUGGCAAGCGUUGUCCGGAUUUAUUGGGUUUAAAGGGUGCGUAGGCGGCCCUGUAAGUCAGUGCUGAAAUAUCCCAGCUUAACUGGGAGGGUGGCAUUGAUACUGCGGGGCUAGAGUACAGAUGAGGUAGGCGGAAUUGACGGUGUAGCGGUGAAAUGCUUAGAUAUCGUCAAGAACACCUAUAGCGAAGGCAGCUUACUAGGCUGUAACUGACGCUGAGGCACGAAAGUGUGGGGAUCAAACAGG